AACGAACGCUGGCGGCAUGCCUAACGCAUGCAAGUCGAACGAGACCUUCGGGUCUAGUGGCGCACGGGUGCGUAACGCGUGGGAACCUGCCCUUAGGUUCGGAAUAACUCCCCGAAAGGGGUGCUAAUACCGGAUAAUGUCUUCGGACCAAAGAUUUAUCGCCUUUGGAUGGGCCCGCGUUGGAUUAGCUAGUUGUUAGGGUAAAAGCCUACCAAGGCGACGAUCCAUAGCUGGUCUGAGAGGAUGAUCAGCCACACUGGGACUGAGACACGGCCCAGACUCCUACGGGAGGCAGCAGUGGGGAAUAUUGGACAAUGGGCGAAAGCCUGAUCCAGCAAUGCCGCGUGAGUGAUGAAGGCCUUAGGGUUGUAAAGCUCUUUUACCCGGGAUGAUAAUGACAGUACCGGGAGAAUAAGCUCCGGCUAACUCCG
rnacentral:rRNA from 1 species